rnacentral:tRNA from 1 species
UGCCGGUUCGUCUAAUGGUAGGACUCUGGUUUCUGGUACCAGCUAUUGGGGUUCGAGUCCCUGACCGGCAGCUA